UUACAUCUCCAUCUUCUCUGUUACUCAAAUGUUCUGAACUUUGUGAAUCUCUGAACCACUUCACUGAAUGUGAGUAAAAUCUGUUCAUUUUCUGAACCACUUCACUGAAUGUGUGUAAAAUCUAUUCAUUUUCUGGUUGGAAUAUUUGGACUAGUUCUGCUAGUUUAGAGUUUGGAGUAUUUGCACAGUUAACUGGACAAUUUUGCACAGAUAACUGAACAGUUUUGCAAGCAUUCGAUCUCUGAAUAAUUUUGUUUUCUGUAAGAUUUAUAUUGUCUCUAAAUUCAGUCAUGAACUAUGAACUCUGAAAUUAGUACUGUCCCAAUAGCAUUUUAAAUAUCCAAGUUAGGACUGCACUUUUAAAGUUCAAGAUACUCCUGUAAAUUAAACCUCAACUUGCAGAGUUGUUGUUUUUAGUUAACUGAAAUUAUAGUGACUACUCCUACUUUUUCCUUCUCCUCUGUUCUGAAACUUCAGCUAUCAUAUCUACAGUACCUAGCUACUGUCAGAACAGAACACUGUAUAUCUAUAGCUUCAUUUUAGAAAUUUAAUUAGUGCAUUUCUAAAAUGGCAAAGAUUAUGGCGCAAAGAUUAGUUACAUCACAUCAAGCAUGCCAUGCCAUCUUUGAUUCUGUUUUUGAUGGAGUACUAGAUAACCUUGUGAAGUGAAUAAUGAGCAUGGGCAAUAAAUAUCCACUACUACUCCCACAUUAUGUCUUUGAUUCUGUGUUUGAUGGCACUGAAUCUUGAAAAUACUAGCAGAAGUAAUAUUGUCAACCACUGGGCCCCAAGGAGAUAUCAUCAUCAGUAGAUAUCUACAAUUUUAUUACUGGAGCCACCAUACAAACCAUGCAAACCUCAUAUUCUUUUGUUAGCUGAGAAGAUCUGCUCUAGCAUUUAGCAGAAGGAUUACCACCACUACUAUCUUAUGUUGUGUAGGUACUUAGAAGUUAAUUAGGAUCUUAGCUUAGAAGACCUGCUCUAGCACUAAGCAGAAGUUAAUUUGGAGUACUAUGACUUUUUGACAGUCUGUAAAAUGGGGCACUUGCUUCGCAAGAAAAUUGAAACUGAAAAAUUGCAAGAGUUUUGCUUGAUGUUAUAUUUCUAUCCCAUAUUGAAACUGAAAAUUUGUAAGAGUUUUGCUUCAUUUGGAGUACAAGUCCAAAUCUGUAUUGACAAUACAUCUUCUAUUUUUCUAUUGUUGAUCAGAUCCAUAUUGUCCUAAAUUGCAAAGUAAGUUAGCACAAAUUCAGUUUUAAUCCAAAUUAUUCAAAUAAAUCCAAAUAUUUUAAAUUAAUUCAAAUAACUAAAAUUAAUCCAAAUCAAUUCAAAUAAAUCCAAAUAACCCAAAUUAAUUCAAAUAAUCCAAAUUAAUCCAGUUAAUCUAAAUAACCCAGAUAAUUCAAUUAAUCCAAAUAACCCAAAUUCAAUAACACAAGGAUUAGACAAGGCAUACACAAGGAGAUGACAUAAGGUUCUCUUUGUCCCCUCUUGACACAAGAUUACACAAGACAUACACAAGGAGCACCUGACUACAUGACAUAAGGGCCUCUUUGCCCCCUCUUGACUACAUUCUUUCUCUGGCCACUUCUUCCCUUCCCUUCCCUUUACUUUUUUUUUCUUUUCCCUUCUCUAGCUAAUUCUUUCCUUUCAUUUUCUUUUCCUAUUGAAAUUUCCAUUUCUUCUAUAGUGGCCCUAGUAUCAACAACUACCCGACUGUCGCAAUAUACAUUGGUUAUUUCCAGUACAGCAUUCUGAAAGCGAUCCUUAUGCAAGUGGGGCAACUUAUAUUGAUUUCCUCCUUUGUCUUUCAUAACUUCAAACAUAACUGCCUCUAAUGUGAUAAAGCUUCUGUGCAACUUGUCGGGAUCGUAGUUCUCGAAUUCCUCUUCCACGCCCUAUACCAGUUCCUGGAUGUUUGUAGGUGACCUGCAGUCGGUUAGAGACUGGAGAGAGUUAUGCAAGCAGAGGUACAAACAAUUUAACUCAGGGAUAUUUGGGGUCUGUUGUAGCAAUCGGAUGUCAAGAUCAGUUUGUUCCACAGCUUCUCGAAAAGCUACAUCAUUGGGAAGGACAUGAGGCUUUGUGUUAUCCUGUUGGAUGAAUAUUGUUGCUCCCUCAUCAUCGUCAGGCCACUUAUCCUGAAUUGUCGGGAUAACCUUAUUGAUCAGAUAAUCUCUGCACACAGGCCUGGUUACUUUCACUGAUGUCAACACUUUUGUUCCCUUUGUUCUGUUCUGACUUGUCCGCUUCGCCUCACUCUCUUCGACGAAUGCCCAAAUGUCGAUCUUCCCAUCGAAUGUUAGCUCCCCCUCAUUGUUAUAUCGAGGCCUGGCAACAGCUGUUAGGAACAUUACCUUCCCAAUGCUGUGAGUGUUUGACACGGUGCGCUUCGGUUUAGGCUCUCCUGGAAGUACAUAGUAACUAUUCUUCACUCUCGUCAUGUCAAACCACUUCUCAUCAAUGUGAACCAUAUUCGUCAUUGGUUUGAACAUAGCUCGAGAAGUUGAGAUCGAAUUGUCAUCGACCAUGGACAUACAAAAGUUCAAUCCCGCGAGCUUGUUCUCUAGCUUGAGGUGAGGCUUCACGGUGCUUGUGAUGCGGUUGAGCUCAUUCAACUAGAACCUCUUAUGUAGGGUCGAUCGGGCCACACCUAGAGACCGUGCCAGAGAUCGAAUUGUUCUUCUUUUAUUCAGUGGGAUUGUUGAGGUCCUCUCUAGAUCUAGCUCCUUUCUCUUUCGGCCAGAUCUUCCCGGCUUCUUGCUUGAGACAUCUACUUCUUUGCCAUCGGCAAUUUGCUUUUUGGCGUCUUCCCAGAUUCUUUCAACAGAUCGUACACUUAUGUCCAACAGGUUUGAGACUAGCAGCUUGUCUUCUGGUUGAACAGACCCAUCUCUGAGCUCGAUUACCAGCAAGGCGAAGUAAACACCAUGCCUCUCCUUAUCUGACAAUUCUCUUCUCUUCUCUUGAAGUAUCCAAUUCAUAACUUCAUCCUCUUCCUCUUGAGCUUCAUCCUCUUUCCCUUCAUCUUCUUGAGGCAUCCAAUUCAUAUCUUCAUCGUCUUCCUCUUGAGGCAUCAAGUUCAAAUCCAUAGGUACAUUCUCUGCCACUUGAGGUUCCUCCUCUUGAGGCAUCAAAUUCAAAUUAAUACCUUCAUCGUCUUCCUCUCGAGGCAUCAUGUUCAAAUCAAUAGUUUCAUGUUCUUCCUUUUGAGGCAUCAAGUUCAAAUCCAUAGUUAUGUUUCCUGCCAUCAAUGAAAAAAGAUGAGUACACCAUGGUACCAUAACAAGAAUAUAUACACACAAAAUGAGUAUGCAAGUCAAACAAGAAAUGCAUUUGCACUAGUCAAACAAGAAUACACACACACAAAGUAGUAGGAGGAGUACUACUGUCAACACUUUUGCACUAGUUCUGCUAGAUAUGAUCAUGAGUAGAUAUCUACAGUUUUAACACUGCAUUUUAACUGAAUUUUCAGAUUAUGAUCAUGAGUAGAUAUGAUCAUGAGUACUCCAUACACAUGUCCAGAUUAAACAAAAAGUAUCAUGUUCAAGCCAAAAUUUGAAGAUUGCAAAUGACCAUGACCAUGAUCAGCAGCAAUUUUGAAAGCAAAAUUCAGUAAACAAAAUUCUGCCAGUCCUGUCAUUUUUGUUUCCAGUCAGAUUUGUAUCCGCUGGGCACUUUAAAUUUAGAUUAAUUCAGAUCCAUGUUGUCCUAUAUUGCUUACUGCAGCUAGAGUAGAAGUAGGAAUAGGGGUAGCUUCAACUACAGCAGGAAAAAAACUACAGUAGGAGUAACACUGUAAUAGUAUCCUUGGAGUAGCCAGAGGACAUGUGUUGCUGAUCUGCUAGGAGUAUCGGUUUGGAAAUACUUUGGCAUGGUUGAACUGGUGCUUAUUUUUGUUUCUCUCUCUGCAGGAGCAGAUUUCAGUUCAGAAGCAGAUUUUGUGUUGCAAUCAUCACACUUAGGAGUAGUUUGUCAUUUUAAAUGGUCAUUUAGUUUCAGUUCAGUUAACACUUCCUUGCUUCAGUAAUUAGUUCCUGAUAUUGUCCAACAUAUGUGAAUUAGUUCCUGAUAUUGACAUUAUUUUUUCAUGUAGGCUCAAUGCUCCUGAGAUUAGAGCAACUUUUCAUCUCUGAAACUUUUAGCCUCAAAUUGCAGACCUCCUGGUGCAUCCCUUGAAUAACAAAACAUGCAAAAUGAUGGGAGAGGCCCAUCUUGAAGCAUCUUUACUAUAGGAGUACUCUGUUUAGAGCAUGGAGCAAAUUCAGUAGACAUUUUUACAAGAAUUCAGUAGAUUUCGUCAUUUGGAUAGGAGUAUUUUUCUGCUCAAUUUGUCAAUUGGAUCAAGAUGCUACUCUACUUCACCAUAAGAAGAAGUAUUUUUCUGCUCCAUUUGUCACAUACAGUUUUACAUCACCAUCAUAAGCAGAAGUACCAAUUGAAGUUUUACAUCACCAUCACACAAUUUUACUGUACCUUCUUCAGGGUGCAGAGUAGUAGCAACAGCAGCACAGGCAGGGUCAAGGAGCAGCAGCACGGGCAGCUCAGUGGAGCAGCAGCAGCACGGGCAUGGUCAGUGGAGCAGCGGCAGCACGGGCAGGGUCAGUGGAGCAGCAGCAGCACGGGCAGAGACCACCGGCGACAGGGGAGAAGCAGCCGCACGGGUGCGUUGGUAGGGGAGAAGGAGCAGCACGGGUGCGCGGGCGUGGGAGAUCGACGAGGUCGCGCUGGAGAUCGAGGAUCACGUGCGCGAGCUCCUGGUCCACCGGACCAUGGAGGCAGGCUCCGGCGACGCCAAUAGGGGAUCACGGCGGCGCACGCGCCGGAGCUCGAAGAGGAUGCACGGGAGCACGAGGAGGAUGUGCGCGAGCUCAGGAGGAUGCAGGGGAGCUCGAGGAGGGACGCGCACGGCCUCGCGGAAGACGUAGCGGGAGAUUCCAGCGACGCCCGCAGGUAAUCGAAGCGGGAGGGGACCGCAGCGGCGCAGGUCUGGGCUGCGGCGGUGGAGGAGGUAACUGCCGAUGGCGGUGAGAGCUUGUACUUGGCGACGGCGGAGGAGCUUAGCUGGGCUCGCCGGCCCCUGGCGAAUCACACAGCUGGGCGGCACCGGCCCCUGGCGACGCGCAGGCGACGGGCGGAGGAAGAAGACGGGGCGGAGGGAUUUGUUUGAAAUGCUUUUGAAAGGAAGAAGACGGGGCGGAGGGAUUUGUUUGAAAUGCUUUUGAAACCAUGAGGGUUUUUUUUGCAAAAUUAUCAAUGAACUACGCCCGUGACAUGUUUUCG